ensembl:lncRNA
ACCAAAUCCCCUGUACACAUAUACGGACUCAGAGGAUGAGCAGCCUACAAAAAACGGUUUCCCCAGGCCCCUCGAGUGAAAAUACCAGGUAAUAAAAUACUGUCUAGUGUCUGUGUACAUAUCUGUGUCUGACACAAGGAAACUUUUUGGAUAAGUUGUCUGUAUUCUUAAAUACUUAAAAAAAAAUAUCUUUUUCUAAACAGCCCUCAUCACUCCGCAGUCUGCCCCCCAGCCCACUGAUAGCAACCAUCAUAAUGCCCCGCCCAGCUUGCGGCACCUUUUGCCACUCCGGCACAACACACAAACCAACACAGCUUUGCGAUCUCCCCAGCAUGCAGAGUCUGAUGUCAAUGUCUUCCCUAUAGAUGGUAUGCUUUUAAAAUAGUUGUAAAGCUUCAUCACAAUGUCAUUGUACUCUUAUCUUCAAAACACCAAUUUAUACUCCUGAAUGUCAUGUUGUUGUGAUUUUUUUUUUUUUUUUUUGUAGAUUCCAGAGACUCUGUGAGGCCACUAUUACAAGGCAAGUUUGAAAAUCUUGGAAUUUCACUGUUUACAUGGUAUAAAUGGUAAAUGGCCUAUAUUUGUAUAGCGCUUUUACUAGUCUCUAAGGACCCCAAAGCGCUUUACACAUUCAGUCAUCCACCCAUUCACACACACAUUCACACACUGGUGAUGGCAAGCUACAUAUGCAAAUAUCAAAUAUAUGUGACAGGAAAAAACUAGUAAACACUUUUAGCAGUUACAACAACUUAUACUUGAAUGCAGAAUGUUACAGCAUCACUUAUGGAUAUAUUCGUUUUUCGACUCCCAUUGCUUAAGCCAUUAAUCUUUCUAGAAUUGUUCUUUGAAACACAUGCAACCUCACAAAAGAUGUUAACGAUGCUGUCAGACCUGACCAGAGCAGAUAACGAACUCCUUGAGGAGGUCAGAGCCAACCGCCAUCCCUGCUGCAAUGAAAAUGUAGAUGCUGGGGUAUUGCCUCUGGAUUUGCCCUUGCACAACAUGGAGGAGCUAAACAAUGCAGAGGCAGCUCAUCAAUCACCGGAGGCAAAUAAGGCAAUGGUUAGACGCUUUGCCUUGAUUGGAGGGACCACACUGGAGGUGCGAGUCCAUCGCACCGCCAAACGAGCUGGCCUCGGUACUCAACUGGACAGGGAACAAACCAAGGACCAGACAGAGCAAAAAAGGGCAUUUAAAGAGACAGCGCUGUGCAGAUGCAUAUUCGAUGGCCUGACGCAGCAGGUAGGGGUGAACUCUAUGUCUGAGUUUGUCUUUGCUCAAGCAGUCCAAAAAUGGCUCAGAUACGCUCCGGAUCGUAUGGGUGGCGCAGGACGCACAUCAUCCAUCCCCAUCCCCGAGUAAAAAUUUGACGUGAAACAUAGAAAUCUUAAUACGAAACUUUGUCUUUUAAUAAAGUCUUUUGUAAACGAUACAUGUCUAUUGACCUUUUUUUUCUUUAGUUUUUUUUCUCUGUUACAUGUGUGAUGCUGUUUUUAGAAUGUUUGACAUGAUACAUUGUGAGACAUUUUUUAACAUAGAAAGGGUGUCCAAUUUGAGGAAUAAGUACAAUUAUAUGUUUAGGUGGUUUAAGUAUUGAUGGAAACAUGCCUAUAAAGAACGGUAGAUUUCCAGUCAUGAUUUAACUUUUGUUUCAAUAAAAAGCAACUGCGAAAGAGGUGGAAAAUCAACAUCAUAGUUCAACAGUGUUUCAAUAUCAGAAUCUGACAUUGUUUCAAUGUCAACAGUAUUAGAAAAUAUAGCAUCCAAUCAAUGUCAGCUUUCAACAUUGAUUCAAUAUCAAAACCUGACGUUGUUUCAAUAACAAUAAAGGGUGCAAGAGUGACGUUAGGUCAACGUCACACCUCAACGUUGAUUCAAUGACAUCGCCUGAUAUUGACUAAACAUUGUUUCAAUGUUUCCUUGCUAUCUGGGAAAUAAAUCAUAUAAUACGAAAACCAACUAUUUACAUUUCAACUUUUAACUAUUUAAAUUUUCAGCUUUUUCCUUUUAAACAAAUUUGAAGUGAAACAACACAAAACACUGCAAACCACAACACAAUUAAAUAUAAAUUAAAAUAUGAAAACAAAAUGAAGAUGCAUAUUCUCUGUCAUAUAGGCCUCCAUGAAUAAACUUUCUGAAUCCUUUAUCAUCCACAACUGAAAAUGGUUGUGGAUGAUUACUAUACCUUUCUAAUGUGACAUCCCUGGCUCUCUUUCUCUCACUUUCCCUCCGGCUCUGUUCCUGUGCUACUACGAGUGUAACUACUGCCCCUCCCCCCUCUUCCCAGCGCAAGCACAAGGCUCGCGUGCGGAGUGAAGCAGAAAAAAAAGGGCGAGAGGGUGAGAGAAAGAAAAAACAAAACACGGCGCCCAAUAAGGAGCCGGCUCGCGUCGUUCACUUCAAAGAGCUGGCUCUAAGAGCCAUUUCGUUCGCGACCGACACAUCACUACAUCAAACAGCCCUACAGACAAAAAAACAUCCCGACUAUCAGCAGUGAUUUAACUACUUUAAGACCUCUGUGAAAAUCAUUUACAGUAUAUAUCACAGAAUUUAAGGCCUUUAUAAGCACAGAGCAUACAGAGAAAAGUACUAAACUGAAUCAAUUUCAGACAGCCUGUCCCUGUCCAACUAAUCAGAGAGCUCCUUACAUCCCAUGGUGUGGCUAAUUUGCAUUGCAGCAGGAUUUUUAAAAUGAAGUUGCUAAUCCAAAUGUUAAUCCCUG